UGUGACACUGCCUCAAAAACUGUGCCCUAGA
rnacentral:piRNA from 1 species